rnacentral:rRNA from 1 species
AUAAGUGCAUCAGGUGGAUGCCUUGGCGAUGAUAGGCGACGAAGGACGUGUAAGCCUGCGAAAAGCGUGGGGGAGCUGGCAAUAAAGCUAUGAUCCCGCGAUGUCCGAAUGGGGAAACCCACUGCAUUCUGUGCAGUAUCCUAAGUUGAAUACAUAGACUUAGAGAAGCGAACCCGGAGAACUGAACCAUCUAAGUACCCGGAGGAAAAGAAAUCAACCGAGAUUCCGCAAGUAGUGGCGAGCGAACGCGGAGGAGCCUGUACGUGAUAACUGUUGAGAUAGAAGAACAAGCUGGGAAGCUUGACCAUAGUGGGUGAUAGUCCCGUAUUCGAAAUCUCAACAGUGGUACUAAGCGUACGAAAAGUAGGGCGGGACACGUGAAAUCCUGUCUGAAUAUGGGGGGACCAUCCUCCAAGGCUAAAUACUCAUCAUCGACCGAUAGUGAACCAGUACCGUGAGGGAAAGGCGAAAAGAACCCCGGGAGGGGAGUGAAAUAGAACCUGAAACCUGAUGCAUACAAACAGUGGGAGCACCCUUGUGGUGUGACUGCGUACCUUUUGUAUAAUGGGUCAACGACUUACAUUCAGUAGCGAGCUUAACCGAAUAGGGGAGGCGUAGGGAAACCGAGUCUUAAUAGGGCGAACAGUUGCUGGGUGUAGACCCGAAACCGAGUGAUCUAUCCAUGGCCAGGUUGAAGGUGCCGUAACAGGUACUGGAGGACCGAACCCACGCAUGUUGCAAAAUGCGGGGAUGAGCUGUGGAUAGGGGUGAAAGGCUAAACAAACUCGGAGAUAGCUGGUUCUCCCCGAAAACUAUUUAGGUAGUGCCUCGAGCAAGACACUGAUGGGGGUAAAGCACUGUUAUGGCUAGGGGGUUAUUGCAACUUACCAACCCAUGGCAAACUAAGAAUACCAUCAAGUGGUUCCUCGGGAGACAGACAGCGGGUGCUAACGUCCGUUGUCAAGAGGGAAACAACCCAGACCGCCAGCUAAGGUCCCAAAUGAUAGAUUAAGUGGUAAACGAAGUGGGAAGGCCCAGACAGCCAGGAUGUUGGCUUAGAAGCAGCCAUCAUUUAAAGAAAGCGUAAUAGCUCACUGGUCGAGUCGUCCUGCGCGGAAGAUGUAACGGGGCUCAAAUCUAUAACCGAAGCUGCGGAUGCUAGUUUACUAGCAUGGUAGGGGAGCGUUCUGUAGGCCGAUGAAGGUGCAUUGUAAAGUGUGCUGGAGGUAUCAGAAGUGCGAAUGUUGACAUGAGUAGCGAUAAAGCGGGUGAAAAGCCCGCUCGCCGAAAGCCCAAGGUUUCCUACGCAACGUUCAUCGGCGUAGGGUGAGUCGGCCCCUAAGGCGAGGCAGAAAUGCGUAGUCGAUGGGAAACAGGUUAAUAUUCCUGUACUUGAUUCAAAUGCGAUGUGGGGACGGAGAAGGUUAGGUUAGCAAGCUGUUGGAAUAGCUUGUUUAAGCCGGUAGGUGGAAGACUUAGGCAAAUCCGGGUCUUCUUAACACCGAGAAGUGACGACGAGUGUCUACGGACAUGAAGUAACCGAUACCACGCUUCCAGGAAAAGCCACUAAGCUUCAGUUUGAAUCGAACCGUACCGCAAACCGACACAGGUGGGCAGGAUGAGAAUUCUAAGGCGCUUGAGAGAACUCGGGAGAAGGAACUCGGCAAAUUGAUACCGUAACUUCGGGAGAAGGUAUGCCCUCUAAGGUUAAGGACUUGCUCCGUAAGCCCUGGAGGGUCGCAGAGAAUAGGUGGCUGCGACUGUUUAUUAAAAACACAGCACUCUGCUAACACGAAAGUGGACGUAUAGGGUGUGACGCCUGCCCGGUGCUGGAAGGUUAAUUGAAGAUGUGAGAGCAUCGGAUCGAAGCCCCAGUAAACGGCGGCCGUAACUAUAACGGUCCUAAGGUAGCGAAGGCGUAACGAUGGCCACACUGUCUCCUCCCGAGACUCAGCGAAGUUGAAGUGGUUGUGAAGAUGCAAUCUACCCGCUGCUAGACGGAAAGACCCCGUGAACCUUUACUGUAGCUUUGCAUUGGACUUUGAAGUCACUUGUGUAGGAUAGGUGGGAGGCUUUGAAGCAGAGACGCCAGUCUCUGUGGAGCCGUCCUUGAAAUACCACCCUGGUGUCUUUGAGGUUCUAACCCAGACCCGUAAUCCGGGUCGGGGACCGUGCAUGGUAGGCAGUUUGACUGGGGCGGUCUCCUCCCAAAGAGUAACGGAGGAGUUCGAAGGUUACCUAGGUCCGGUCGGAAAUCGGACUGAUAGUGCAAUGGCAAAAGGUAGCUUAACUGCGAGACCGACAAGUCGAGCAGGUGCGAAAGCAGGACAUAGUGAUCCGGUGGUUCUGUAUGGAAGGGCCAUCGCUCAACGGAUAAAAGGUACUCCGGGGAUAACAGGCUGAUUCCGCCCAAGAGUUCAUAUCGACGGCGGAGUUUGGCACCUCGAUGUCGGCUCAUCACAUCCUGGGGCUGUAGUCGGUCCCAAGGGUAUGGCUGUUCGCCAUUUAAAGUGGUACGUGAGCUGGGUUUAAAACGUCGUGAGACAGUUUGGUCCCUAUCUGCAGUGGGCGUUGGAAGUUUGACGGGGGCUGCUCCUAGUACGAGAGGACCGGAGUGGACGAACCUCUGGUGUACCGGUUGUAACGCCAGUUGCAUAGCCGGGUAGCUAAGUUCGGAAGAGAUAAGCGCUGAAAGCAUCUAAGCGCGAAACUCGCCUGAAGAUGAGACUUCCCUUGCGGUUUAACCGCACUAAAGAGUCGUUCGAGACCAGGACGUUGAUAGGUGGGGUGUGGAAGCGCGGUAACGCGUGAAGCUAACCCAUACUAAUUGCUCGUGAGGCUUGACU